UACGUAGGGGGCAAGCGUUGUCCGGAAUCAUUGGGCGUAAAGAGCGCGUAGGCGGUCCGGUAAGUCCGCUCUGAAAGUCCGGGGCUCAACCCCGGGAGGCGGGCGGAUACUGUCGGGCUAGAGUCCGGAAGAGGCGAGUGGAAUUCCUGGUGUAGCGGUGAAAUGCGCAGAUAUCGGGAGGAACACCAAUGGCGAAGGCAGCUCGCUGGGACGUGACUGACGCUGAGACGCGAAAGCGUGGGGAGCAAACAGG
rnacentral:rRNA from 1 species